UAUUUAUGGAGAGUCUAACCUGAGCAACAGACUGCAGCGUGGAGAGUUUGAUGGCCUUCUGCUGGGUGACAGGGGUUACCAUGACAACCCAGGCUGAUGACCUCAUACCCUGACCCUGAACCAGGCCCCCAACAGAACUUCAACCGGACUCACUGCAGGACCAGAGCCCGGGUGGAGAUGACCAUAGGCCUGCUGAAAGCCCGUUUCCAGAGCCUACAUCUCCUCAGGGUGACCCCUGAGAGGGCCUGUGAUAUUACUGUGGCAUGUGUUGUUCUUCAUAAUAUUACCACUAUUAGAGGAGAGCAACACCCUGCCCUACAAACUGAAGACCCAGAUGAUGAGCCCAUCCACCUGCAGCUAUCCAGGACAGCAGAGCAGUCAGAGACACCGUAUGCAAUAAUCACUUUAGAGUUUAAGUCACCAUCAUCACCACCACAGCAAAUAAAGACAUGAUACACAUUU